CUCUCCUCUUCCUUCAUUUUCUUCUCUUUCCAGGCCAGUUCCCCUUCUGCUGCUGUCCCCAGGGAGUCCCAGGCUGUCACCUGCUGCCACCCCAGCCCUGCCCUUCAUCAGAGGAGGCCCCUUCUCCCCCUGCACUGAGGAGGCCUCCUGGGGCCCUGAGCAGCUGAGCCCUGAGCUGCCCCGCUGUGACUUGUCCCGGUUCUGCCAGUCUCCAGCUGAGACCCAGCACCCACUGCGCCCACACUGUUACCACUGUGCCCGGGUCUUUCAGGGAAAGCAACCUGAGCUGGGAGGAGGCCGAGGGUCUUCCCUGAGGAGGUGGAGCUUGAGCUGAGACCCCAAGGGUAAAUAGAGGGAACUACAGAUGCUUAGGCAGGGAGCCCCAAGCUCAUACAGCUCCUGGGAGAGGCCAGCAGGCUGUGGUUCAUGGCUGUGGCCAUGGAAGGAGGUGGGCAGGGGCCAGGUCAUGGGCUCCUGAAGGCCAUAGCCAGGAGGAUGCUCAUCCUAUGAAGGGCAACAGGGAGCCAUGGGCGGUAUAAGCAGGAGAGUGUCUGGGAGCCUCCAUAUCUCUCUGUCCUUGGACAAGUUGGCCCAUGGCAGGGCUUGGCUGUCCCACCAGGCUGAACUUGCUGGAAGCGGGGCUUCACGGUGCUCUUGCUAAUUGACUGUGACCUUGGCCGCACGACCUACUUCUCCACCCGUCUGUCAGACAGGACGAUGGGAGUCAUGGCGGGGUGGUUAGCAGGGACGGUGCUUGUGCAGAGCGUGGCACCAAGCAGGGCUGUAGGGGGCACUCUGCCACUCUUCCCUCCCAGAGCCACCCCUCCACCUGCCAAGCACCAUCCGGUUCCCAGCAGGAAGCAGAUCGGAGGAACCUUUCCGCGCACAGCAGGGAUUCUGGGGAAGCCAGCUGGACUUGGCUCUCUCUCACCUGCUAUGUGACCUGAGGUAGG
rnacentral:lncRNA from 1 species